CCUGAACAUCUCAAUUCAUAGAUUUAGCUUGGCCAAUGAUAUCCCUCUUCUGGAUGGAUUGGGCCAAUGCCGUAGCUCAGAUUGGUGUCCAUGGCGGUGUGAGAAAGGGCGUGCUUUCCCUAUUUAAGCCUACACCCAGACGUUGUACCUGUAACGGACAUUCUCACCGCACAUCCCCGUACCAGCUUCUCGCGGAACCAGAACGUACCAGUACACGUUCCUGUAUACCAGAACCAGUGAAUUGCAGCAGACCUGAGUGCUUGGACAUCAUCUAAGAUGGGCGACAACAACCCAGUGAAGCAGGGAGUGGAGACCUUUGACAAGAAGUGUCUAAAGAAGACCAGUACUGCUGAGAAGAACACUCUGCCAACCAAGGAGGAUAUCGAGCAGGAGAAGAAAGCUGAAGGAGGCUCCAAAUGAAACACCAGGCUUCCUCUCCUCCAGUCGUCGUUCUCUCUUCUCCUCCUUUUAAGAAACAUGUCUAUCAUCUCUUCUUCUGCUUCUUUGCGUUUCACCAUGUUAAUGAAUCACAAUGGCAUUGACUCUGAUGCUGUGGGGUUAGGGGUGCAUGAUUAGUAAAGGGAAGGCCAGUACGAUUGGAUGGAUAAGAUAUGGUGUUUGUUGAAAAAAAGGAAGAACUGAGCAUGUUGUGUUUGUGUCAAUGACAUAUAAUACUGUCACCAUCAACAGUCAACUAUGCCCAAUGUUCUGCCUGUACACAGUGCCAUUCUGGAUAAGUUCUGUAACAAUAACAUGAGAGAAGAUAUUUUUGUUUUAAUAAAAUGAGUGUUUUAG